AAGUGAAGAAAAUUAAUAACACAAUAAUAUUUGAUGGUAUCGAUUUUGAAUUUAUAAGUUUAGUCAUUCGAAGCUUGAAAAAUGUUCAAUGUGAAAUUAUUGAACCUGUUGAAAAAGUAUUUGGAAUUAAAUUAAACAACGGCACGUGGGAUGGCAUAAUUGGAAGAAUACAAAGAGAAGAAGCUGAUCUUGGAGUAAUCUCGUUAUAUGCUACGUAUGACAGAUUUCAAGUAGUGAAAUUAACAGCUCCUAUUAGUAUUACAAGAAUUAUAUUUGUUGUUUCUGCA